CGAAAACGACAUGCAAAUAAGUUUAAAAUUUUGUCAUAUGUAAACAUUUGAUAUGCCGUGAACAGCUCUUGUAUUACCAAACACGGCAAAACAAUAUGGACAACUUUGCUGACAUACCACAUAUCUACAGCCCUUUCCUGUAUAUCUUCGAAGGUGAAUUAAUACGCAUUGGCCGGUUUAUCAAGGAAGUCCUGCAGAAUAUCAAUGUUUUUACCAGCUAUGGUAAAUUAUAU